rnacentral:rRNA from 1 species
AACGAACGCUGGCGGCAGGCUUAACACAUGCAAGUCGAACGCAUCGCAAGAUGAGUGGCAGACGGGUGAGUAACGCGUGGGAAUCUACCCAGUUCUACGGAACAACAGUUGGAAACGACUGCUAAUCCCGUAAACGCCCUACGGGGGAAAGAUUUAUCGGAAAUGGAUGAGCCCGCGUAAGAUUAGCUAGUUGGUGGGGUAAUGGCCUACCAAGGCGACGAUCUUUAGCUGGUCUGAGAGGAUGAUCGGCCACACUGGGACUGGGACACGGCCCCGACUCCUACGGGAGGCAGCAGUGGGGAAUAUUGGACAAUGGGCGCAAGCCUGAUCCAGCCAUGCCGCGUGAGUGAUGAAGGCCUUAGGGUUGUAAAGCUCUUUCACCGAUGAAGAUAAUGACGGUAGUCGGAGAAGAAGCCCCGGCUAACUUCGUGCCAGCAGCCGCCGUAACAC